GAAAUGAUGCUCUGCUGGUAGAAAACAAAAAACCUUAUUGGGGAAAAUGGAGACUAGGAAGAACCUCAAGUGAAUCAAAUGAAGUUCUUUUCCUUCAUCCCUAUUCACACCCCUUGGGAGGAGCUUGGAUUCAUUGACCAGGAUCCACAAUUAAAAAGGCAAACAGAGUGGAGCCUGAGCUAACCCCAUUCAUUCUCUGCGGAUGAUCAGUUGAUGAAGCUCCUAGAGGACUGGACAGAUGUGGCAGGAAGAUACGUGAAGCUCUACCAACUUCUAUUUGGUAUAAUUGCUCAUGGAAAAGAAUACAAAGUUGUUAGAGUCUGUAAACAAGUCUGGAUGGCACCUGGCAAAAUGCCAGAGGGAGUGGUUUGUGAAGUAAUGCCAGCGAGCCAUUAAGUGUGGAGAUUCCUUAUUGGUUGACUGCUGUAUCUAGUUUAUGUUAAUUAAGACAAGCUGUGUGGAAUGUACAAAUACUUCUGUUGUCCUACAAUAAACGGCUCCCUCUCCUGCUGUAUCAAUCUACACAAGUUUCUCGCCACCUGCUGCAGCCGGACUGCGGCAGAUGGUGGCCCGUACAGGGAGCCCCGGGACACUCGGGGGUAAGUGACGGGAAAAAAAAGCUGCCCGUCCAUAGAUAGGACUGGAGCAAAUCUGCUCGUCCCUAGACAGAUAGGGCGAGAGGAAAAAUGGCCAUUUUAAGAAGAUGGAGAAGAUUGAUACAGUAUGUUUGUGUCUUGUUUUGUCUCAGUGUAUUGUAUUGUCUUUGUGAUGAAAAUAUGGAAGGGGUGAGAAGUAAAUUGAUAAGGGAAAGAGGCACCCCAGUGGACACAAUAAUAGUUAGGGAAUGUGUUGAUGGAAGCCCAGGAACUCUAGUCAGAAAGAAAAAGAAAGUUCAGAAGAAGAAGAAUUAUCAGGAAAAAAGUUGCAGCAAAAGGCUACUACUAAAUACUUUUUGUUACUGGAGGGUGCAUGAAUCAGCGCAGCUGCAGCUGCCACAUGCGCUAGCCCGCCAUGGCGCAGCAAGGACUUUUCAAGUGGUGGUAGCGGGCUCUUCCCCGCCCCCCACCCAGGGAGUGGAAUGCCAUUUCGAGAGCCCAAAUCCAAACCUGACCCAGAGGCACAGUCUCGCAGGCUCUUGCUCCCUGUGCCCNAACACAUAGUUUGAUUAAGGGUUUGUCAAAUCACUGAUUGGGUAACUAGAAUAAAGAGCAACUGAAGAGCAUUAUAGGGCGUGAAGAGCCACAGUAAAGUUGCAGAAAGUCUUUUAAAUGUGAUGAAGCCUUUUGUGCACUGCCUUGUGCUCAUCAGUAUCACAGCCAACAUGUCUGGAUUUUGCCGUGCCGCUCAAGUACGGGGGGACAUGGGGACUUAAAGCAGUAAGCAACUAUAAGAAUUUUUUCAAAUGCACUAAUUUUAUGAAUAAGAAAGGGUCUGGUGGGUUAUCCAAAAUAAUAUAUGAGGCACAGUUGGGGAAAUGUUGGAGUGGAGUUACCAUGCCAGUAUGCCAGAUAUGUUCCUGAGUAUAUCCCAAGUUAUGUUGGGCAGUACACAUACAAAACAUGUUUGAGAAAAAAUUGGCUGGAUUUGAAUUGCUAAUGAUUUAGUAAUCAAGUGAUCAUCAAGCAUCUAUCAAUAUUAAUGAUGAUGUUUAUCCCUUUUUAUUAAACAUUUUGCAUGUAUGCUAUGCUCUUAAAUUUUGAGUUGACUAUUAUUAUCCUCAUUCAGUAAAAGAACAAACAUUAACUAAAUGUUGACAAACUGUGAAGCUGAGAUUAUAAACUGCAUCUAUCUGAAUCCAAAUGGUUGUUUGAAAAUAGAUGUUUGGAUGAGUUAACUGUUGCUUGUUUCUUUUUGUUUUUAAAAUAUUCUCCUUAUUUUAACAUUCUUUGGGGUGGGGUUGAGUAAGCAAAUCCUGGGAAAAGAUAACCCAAGGAUCAGGAAAUGAUGCUCUGCUGGUAGAAAACAAAAAACCUUAUUGGGGAAAAUGGAGACUAGGAAGAACCUCAAGUGAAUCAAAUGAGGUUCUUUUCCUUCAUCCCUAUUCACACCCCUUGGGAGGAGCUUGGAUUCAUUGACCAGGAUCCACAAUUAAAAAGGCAAACAGAGUGGAGCCUGAGCUAACCCCAUUCAUUCUCUGCGGAUGAUCAGUUGAUGAAGCUCCUAGAGGACUGGACAGAUGUGGCAGGAAGAUACGUGAAGCUCUACCAACUUCUAUUUGGUAUAAUUGCUCAUGGAAAAGAAUACAAAGUUGUUAGAGUCUGUAAACAAUUCUGGAUGGCACCUGGCAAAAUGCCAGAGGGAGUGGUUUGUGAAGUAAUGCCAGCGAGCCAUUAAGUGUGGAGAUUCCUUAUUGGUUGACUGCUGUAUCUAGUUUAUGUUAAUUAAGAUAAGCUGUGUGGAAUGUACAAAUACUUCUGUUGUCCUACAAUAAAUGGCUCCCUCUCCUGCUGUAUCAAUCUACACAAGUUUCUCGCCACCUGCUGCAGCCGGACUGCGGCAGAUGGUGGCCCGUACAGGGAGCCCCGGGACACUCGGGGGUAAGUGACGGGAAAAAAAAGCUGCCCGUCCAUAGAUAGGACUGGAGCAAAUCUGCUCGUCCCUAGACAGAUAGGGCGAGAGGAAAAAUGGCCAUUUUAAGAAGAUGGAGAAGAUUGAUACAGUAUGUUUGUGUCUUGUUUUGUCUCAGUGUAUUGUAUUGUCUUUGUGAUGAAAAUAUGGAAGGGGUGAGAAGUAAAUUGAUAAGGGAAAGAGGCACCCCAGUGGACACAAUAAUAGUUAGGGCAUGUGUUGAUGGAAGCCCAGGAACUCUAGUCAGAAAGAAAAAGAAAGUUCAGAAGAAGAAGAAUUAUCAGGAAAAAAGUUGCAGCAAAAGGCUACUACUAAAUACUUUUUGUUACUGGAGGGUGCAUGAAUCAGCGCAGCUGCAGCUGCCACAUGCGCUAGCCCGCCAUGGCGCAGCAAGGACUUUUCAAGUGGUGGUAGCGGGCUCUUCCCCGCCCCCCACCCAGGGAGUGGAAUGCCAUUUCGAGAGCCCAAAUCCAAACCUGACCCGGAGGCACAGUCUCGCAGGCUCUUGCUCCCUGUGCCCCGAAGCAGUUUGAGUCCAAGACACUCCCCAGGGCCAUCUGGGGCUGCCCAGGACACUACAGCUGGCAGAAGACCGCCCUGUGUCCCUGAAGUUUGAUCAUUUCCAAGGCAAGUAACUACAAUGGUUCUCCCACACCUGGAAGCUAAUGAGUAAUAAGCACUAUUAAGGCUUAUUUCAAAUGUAAAAAAAUAAACUUGAGAUAAUGUACUAAAUUGUUCAGAAGGUUGUUUUCUUAGUGCCUGCUGGAAUACUACAGGAUUUUCUUUAGCCAUCUGGAGUUCCUGCCUUCGUCCCAGUGUCAGUGAAGAUGAAGGUGGAAGAAUUUCCAGUGUUACUGAGAACCUGAGGAAACUUUGGCUGAGAAACGGACGAGACUUCGGAUCAAGCUAGCUGCCUGCAAAACUUACCUGGACUGUGUUUUACCUGGACUGUGAAUUAAUCUAUUGAGACACUGCUUUACCUGGACUGAGACAACAAACUGUAAUCUACAACAAAUUAUAACUCGGUAUCUUUGGUAAUGGUGUCAUUGCUGGUAUAAUUUUUCCAAGGGCUUCUUGCAUGGAGCCAUCAAUUGGCUUGGUAUUGUGGCAUUUUGUAUCCUCCCUUUCUGUUUGUAGCAGGUUAUUUAUGGUGUUUGUGUAAAAACCACUAUAGUCUUUAUUUAAAUUAAACAAAAGGGGGAAUUGUUAGAGUCUGUAAACAAGUCUGGAUGGCGCCUGGCAAAAUGCCAGAGGGAGUGGUUUGUGAAGUAAUUCCAGGGAGCCAUUAAGUGUGGAGAUUCCUUAUUGGUUGACUGCUGUAUCUAGUUUAUGUUAAUUAAGAUAAGCUGUGUGGAAUGUACAAAUACUUCUGUUGUCCUACAAUAAAUGGCUCCCUCUCCUGCUGUAUCAAUCUACACAAGUUGCUUGUCACCUGGUUAUUUUGCUGCAGCCCGACUGCAGCACAAAGUCACCAUAUUAAACAGAAUUCCACAAUGACAAAGUGAGAAGGCUAGAACAAGGCUACACAUGCCCUGAGCAUUCCUAAAGGAGAGAGAAUGGGUUUUCCUGGCCAAAGUUGCCCUGGAAUUCUCUUGGUCUCUGGCUACAUACAUAUAUAAAUAUGUGUAUACAUAGAAAGAGUCCCUGACUUUUGUUAAAUCCACUUAGGAGACAAGUGCAGGGGGACAUAGUCAUGACUUAACAAUGGUGCAAAAGCAUGCCCAUACAAACAUUCUUCUUUUUUUUUUUUUGCUUCCAG
rnacentral:lncRNA from 1 species